AGGUGAACUGCGGAAGGAUCAUUAUCGAAUAUACUUGAUGGGCUGUAGCUGGCUCCCCGGAGCAAUGUGCACGCCUGUCUUGACUUUAUUCAUCCACCUGUGCACCCUUUGUAGUCUCUGUGGGGUUGAUAGCGGGGUUGACCGUCGAAGAAGGGGUCUCUCUGGCCUCUUCGCGGAUGUGAGGGGUGCUGCGCGAAAGUGCUGCUCCCUUCAAACGGCCUCGUGAACCUCUCCCCCAGAGGUCUAUGUUCUCUCAUACACCACAGUAGUAUGUUGUAGAAUGUUACUCGAUGGGCCUCUCGUGCCUAUAGAACUUGUAAUACAACUUUCAGCAACGGAUCUCUUGGCUCUCGCAUCGAUGAAGAACGCAGCGAAAUGCGAUAAGUAAUGUGAAUUGCAGAAUUCAGUGAAUCAUCGAAUCUUUGAACGCAUCUUGCGCUCCUUGGUAUUCCGAGGAGCAUGCCUGUUUGAGUGUCAUUAAAUUCUCAACUCCGCUCCAGUUUUAUGAAGCUGGUGUUUCGGGGCUUGGACAUGGGGGUCUAUGCUGGCCUUUGUAAAACGAGGUCGGCUCCUCUGAAAUGCAUUAGCGGAACCGUUUGCGGUCCAUCACUGGUGUGAUAACUAUCUACGCCGUGGGGCUGCUCUCUGUCUGUUCAGCUGCCAAUCGUCCUUCCAGGGGACAAUCUCUGAACCUUUUGACCUCAAAUCAGGUAGGACUACCCGCUGAACUUAAGC
rnacentral:rRNA from 1 species